rnacentral:lncRNA from 1 species
AGAGCCAGACAGCCAGCUCAAGGAGAUGGGCAAUUUACAGAGAAAGCAGCAUUGUGUUGAUGUUCCUUUCAGCUGGUCCUAUAGUACCCCUCCUCAGGAAUGUCUCCCCAGUGCAAGGACAAAGACUGAAGAGACUGCUAUAUUGAUGGACUCUCAAGCCAACUAUGAAGUUGAAACAAAGAAAGUGAUCACCUGAAGACACCUCCUCUGCUAAGAAACACCCCCAAAUUGUGCAGCUUCUGCCACUAGAACUCUCAGAACAAGAGACAAUCUUUUCAAGAAACAGAAAAACUCAAUAAUGACAUCUAGAUUUUCAUGAGCCAAGAACUUUCCCUUCCUCAUGUGUAUUCCUCUGUUUGUACUUAAAUUCAUGUGACAUUCA